UACGAAGGGGGCUAGCGUUGCUCGGAAUCACUGGGCGUAAAGGGUGCGUAGGCGGGUCUUUAAGUCAGGGGUGAAAUCCUGGAGCUCAACUCCAGAACUGCCUUUGAUACUGAAGAUCUUGAGUCCGGGAGAGGUGAGUGGAACUGCGAGUGUAGAGGUGAAAUUCGUAGAUAUUCGCAAGAACACCAGUGGCGAAGGCGGCUCACUGGCCCGGUACUGACGCCGAGGCACGAAAGCGUGGGGAGCAAACAGG
rnacentral:rRNA from 1 species